GCUGCGUAUGAGGUUACAUUCAAGCACGACAUGCCACAAACAGUAGCAAGCACUUCAAUAACAUAUUAUCAUGGUAUUUAAUCAACUUGCACAUUUUUAAGUUAUUGUAGACAAAGGUAUCAGGCUAGUCAAACAUGUCUAACUGUUAGGCAGAAAUUUGAGAUUUAAAGGACUAGCUAUACAUGUGGGGUAAAGAUAAACAUGAAACUUUGGAAAGCAAGUUAUAGGCUAAUUGUAGAGUAAACAUGUAGUAUUACUGUAUAACCUGCUAUAUAAUGACUGAAAAGAAUAGACCACUGGUAAUAAGACUGGACAUUAUGUUGCUGCAUCACAGUAAGAAAAUCUAAUAUGUUCAACAAAAAUACUAUUAACAAAACUGGUUGCAAAACAUGAAAAGAAAAACAAGGUGCAGGUGACUACAUAUUGCAGGCGAUAGUCCUGAAGCUAGGAUCAUCCAAUCCCUCUGAGUGGUAAGAGAGAGGUGUUGCUGAGAAAGUCACCAUGCAUCUCUGCAGAUUUAUUCCUCCGUUGUGCAUCUCUCCAGCUCCAGACCUACACAAGGGCCGACCUUGUCCCUCCCAGGACUCAAAGGCUCUCCGUGACGAAUUACUGCUCCCACGGGACACCAUAAGACACCAGGAUUAGGUCAUCGCUUAUUGCUGCUGUGACUACCUAUCUAGGGGCGCUGCAGGGAUUGAGAUGCCAUAUCAUUGGCGCCUGGGCGCCAGCUGCUUGCGUCUCCUCCUCUGUGAUGCCGCGUGGGGGAUGCGCAAGAGAAACCCGGUUCUGCUGCGUCUAAAGGAUCCGGGAUACCACAACUUGGUUGACGAGAGUAGCAGUAAGCAGGGCCGGCCCCUCAUGCUGCAGCCGCCUGAGCACUCUAUGGAGAUCUCUAAGGGACGGGAGGGGAGAGCAGUAAGGGA